CCCUUUUCUUGUUGUCUGCAUCUCUUCAGGAAGAACGUCUGGGUCGUUUAAGGCCAGCGUAUAUUUACAGUGGUGGAGUGACCAAAGUGAACGAAAAUGAAAACGUCGCGUUUAAGUGCAAAGCUGAUAAUAUACCAGAAAGCACAAUCUAUAUGCACCUCUUCAAAAAUGGUGAGAGAGUCAGGACGGAUGCUUUUAAAGCUACAACAAGAGAUUGUACAAUAUUUAACUUUACCAAAGUCACUGCAGAACUUUCUGGAUUGUACACAUGCCUUUACUCUGAAGAGAAACUCAGUGUCAAAAAGACAAAUGCAAAAGGACACAACUCUGUCUCACUCAAGGUUUUGGGAAAAAUAUUCCCGGCGAAGAUUGAAAGAACAGAAACGUCGACACUGACCUGCACCUUUACAAAAAUUCAAAACUGUACUCAAGUCUACGUUUAUCUCUGCUUAAAUGGGAUCGGAAACAGAACGAAGCAGGUGAACUGUAGCGAUAUGACCAUUUCCACAACCUUUCUCCUCAGUAGCAUUUCAGAAAAAAGCUCUGGGAACUACAGCUGUGUGUAUUCAGUGUCUAACUACAGUCUCAGUGAGGUGAACAAUGCAGGAGAAAACACUGUCUUUGUUCAUAU